GUGUUACGUCCAAAUGGGUGGAAAUGGCUAAAAUUAUUUCAUGUUCAACGUAGAUUCAUUGAUUUGUUUUUAUUUUACAUACCUCUGUAUAUGAUACCCAUGAAAAAAAUGAAAACAACACGUGAACAUAUAACAUAUCACACGACAGCCGCAUAACUAAUCAAUACCUGUGCAUGCAAUAUGCAUAUUAUGUUUUUAUCAUUUUAAAAUCGAGUGUUCCUGGUACUGUUGACGUCGUUUGCCAGAAUGAAGACCUUUGUAGUUCUUGUUGCAUUCUUACAACUUGCAAUAAUUGCAAGUCUAAGAAAACACAAACCGGUCAGUAUUACCUUGAAUGCAGGGAAAAACUUACCAGUUAGUGGCUUCCUAAUAGACAAUUCGAACUAGAUUAAAGAAGGGAAUUAUCAGUUAGACAAAAUAAAGGCAGUUUCGAAGCACAAUAGGGACAGCAUUUCUGCAAUUGAAUCCAGACUAACAGACCUCAGUAAGGCGGUAAAUGGUUUGCUUAAAACAACUGCACAACAGGCUGAUCCGGCAAGUGAUGGUUACAUUGGAUGUUACAAGGAUGACGGUAAUCGACAUCUCAAAUAUAAAAUAUCGGACUUGGGGAAUUCUAUAACCUUGGCUAAAUGCCGUGAACAUUGUAAAGGAUAUAAAUACACGGGCUUGCAGUAUCGCAUAUAUUGUCUUUGUGGAAAUGGACUAGCAAACAAACAGUAUCCAAGGGUACCAGAAUCAGAUUGUAACAUGGCUUGUGCUGGUGAAACGAAUCGAAUGUGUGGAGGUGGCUAUAGAAACUCGAUAUAUUUAGUCAAACCGUAAUCGCAAAGAGAAAUGCAGAAAAAACACAGAGAUCAGUAUCAAAAUAAAAUGAUAGUAUUUUAA